ensembl:Y_RNA Y_RNA Y RNA
GGCUGGUCCGAGUGCAGUGGUGUUUACAAUUAAUUGAUCACAGCCAGUUACAGAUUUCUUUGUUCCUUCUUCACUCCCCCAAACUUAACUGAGCCUUUG